CUUGUACUCCCUCCGUCUGGAAAUACUUCUUCUAGAAUUAAAUAAAAUGGAUAUAUGUAUAACGAAAAUAAGUCUAAAUACAUCCAUUUCUAGGACAAGUAUUUCCGGAUGAAGGGAGUAUCUA
rfam:Hordeum vulgare subsp. vulgare, WGS project CAJW01000000 data, contig: morex_contig_54611